UCCCCUCCCUCCUCCUCGUCCGGAGAGCCGCCAGCCACCGCAAUGCUUCCCCCCUUCCUCCUACUUCCCUCAUCUCCACUGCCGUCGGUCCUACCCCCAAUCCACAGCCGCCGCCUCCCUUCGUUCCGGACCGGGGAGUAAUAUGGCGGGCGGCAGAGCACGGGGUCGAUGGCAGCGGCUGGACGAGGUCGUCGACAAGCGAGGUACGGCCACCAAGCUUGUUCCUCCGACCACCGCACUGGAGCCCCGGCGGCUGAGCCUGCAGUGGCACCGGGAGCAUGGCGGCGACCGGGGAUGCUGGACAGUAGGGGCUCGCUGUGGUGGUCCAUACCUAGGAAGAGGGCGACAUCUUCCAGCCAAGGUUCGGAAUAGACGGAAGGCGAUAGGUAUCGUCAGAGAAAGCUGUGAAACUGUAUUGCGAAAGAUGUGUGCAACUCAUAAACUUAGGAAGCAUGAAGAGUGGUAUAAUAAAAUUGCGGUCGUUGGAAAUGGGGUUGAGUUGACCUUAUGCGCGCUUCGCCGUGUCGGGAUCAGGUGCAUUGUAUCAUCAGCUUUGAAAUGAUGUGGUGUGAUGAGCGUACUAAAUAUUUAUGGUUUGCCUCAAAUGAUGCAUGUGUAUGGUAGUCCAAUUCUGUUUUGAAGUAUAUAACUAUAUAUUGGCAUUAUGUUGAAAACCGACCUGACAAAUGAAGUUCUAUUUUCUGUCUUGGUGCUCUUAGAACCAGCCCAUUAUUUGGACAUCUACCAUGGUCAUCAAAGAACCUCAUAAUCGUUACUCAGAUGAUUGUGUGAUUUCAUUUUACUACAUGCUAUUGUAUUGAUCUUGUUCGUGGAGGUGAGGGUUCCUAAGCAAAACUUGCUGGAGUGCCAUGGCCGGCGGUGAGCGCCGGUGGGUGUAGCAGCCUGCACAGGCGGCGUGAGUAGCGGCCAAGACGAUGGGCGCGACAGGGGGGAAAGGAGGUCGACGAGGAGGGCAGACAGCAGGGGGAAGGGGCACGAAGUAGGGGAAAGAAUUGGGCGAGCCAGACCAGUGACGGAAGGAGCAGGGUGAGGCCUCACACACUGAGCAGGGUGAGGCCUCACACACUGGCUCGUUAUGUGCUUCACCAUUGCUUGCAACUGAAGAAGAUAGAGGCGAGAAGCUCAUGGACGCCGUCCCAGGUCGCGACAACUUCCAUGCCGGCGGCUGGCAAAACAUCAGCAACAUCAUCCAUGGACAACAUGAACAGAGAUGCUCCUGGCCUUCCCUUGUUUUUCCCACCCACUAGGCUGUGGAGCUUUGGAAGAGCCAAAAUAGACAUAUGAUGGUGCUAGGAGGGUGAGAAUCUGAAGAUCUUACCCUUUGCAAGACGAAUUCUAGGGAGGCGGAGAUAAUAAAGGGCAACACCGGUGAGCCACAAGCCAUGUCAAGGACUACACCAGUAGGAAUUUGCAGCAGGCCUGAUACCUUGCUCGUGCUCUCCGCUUGUCCUCACUCCCUAGACCUUUCCUUUGCUUGUCGUCAUACAUUUAUUCGGAGUGGUGUCAAGACGCAUCUCCUUUGCCUAGAUGGCAGGCAGAGGGCCUAAGUAAGCUCUAGUUUCUACAGCCUUCAAAGCUGCUGCUCCAUUGUUCUAUUGGUCAAUGAGCAAAAUGCUUUUGACAAGAAGCAGCGUGUCACUUGCAUGAAGCACGAAGCACUACAUCAAGAACUUCACUGGCAAGCCUGAAAGGGAGAAGCUAAAUGAUUUAAGAGGAACAUUGAGUCUGCCACAAAGUUUCAUCGUAGCCAGCUCAAGAACCUUCAGUUGUAAGUUCUCUGUUUGCCUUGGUGAUCAUUGGUAUCUGUUGAGACACCUUAGUACUUCAUUCUUCCUUUGGUAUUCCAGAUGCUCGUAUUUGCUCUAUAAAACUUAAAUCGCUUAUGAAUUUUUCUAUAGGCCUUACUUUCUUUGGGAAUGCGGUACUAAUAUAUUACAUUCAACUUAAGUUCUAAAGCCGUGUUGAUAUGUUUUGGCUUUGUGGGCGAGAGCAUGCAUGAUGAUGACAGCUUGGUGUUCGCCUACUACAAGGAGCCAUCCAGCUAACUUUUUUGUACUUCGCAAGAUUCUGAAAGAAGAGAGCUCAUUGAUAUUAUAUUUCCUUAGUUCUCAUCAAAUCAGUGUGUGUCAAACUGAAGUAUUUGUUGCUUAUAUAAUUUUGUGGUUAUAAAUGUGCAUCUGAAUUUAUCAUUGCCAUAGUAUGUGCUCUUCGGAGAAAGAAAAGAAAAUGUAUAGCUACGGAAAUGUUUGUGAAAACCUUUUUCCUUAGCUUAUGAAGAUUUUGGCUUGUGAUUUUGGUUUCA